GCCUUUAUGGUGCAAGUGGUAGCAUGCUCGACUCCUAUUCGAGAGGUCCGGAGUUCGAAUCCUGGCGAAGACA
rnacentral:tRNA from 1 species